rnacentral:rRNA from 1 species
CGCGUAGGCGGUUCGAUAAGUCAGAUGUGAAAGCCCAGGGCUUAACCUUGGAAUUGCAUUUGAUACUGUCGAGCUUGAGUGUGGUAGAGGAAAGCGGAAUUCCGGGUGUAGCGGUGAAAUGCGUAGAUAUCCGGAGGAACAUCAGUGGCGAAGGCGGCUUUCUGGACCAACACUGACGCUGAGGCGCGAAAGCGUGGGGAGCAAACAGGAUUAGAUACCCUGGUAGUCC